rnacentral:rRNA from 1 species
GAUGAACGCUGGCGGCGUGCCUAACACAUGCAAGUCGAACGAAGCGCCCUUUAAGAUUCUUCGGAUGAUUGAUCGGUGACUGAGUGGCGGACGGGUGAGUAACGCGUGGGCAACCUGCACUGAACAGGGGGAAAACAGUUGGAAACGGCUGACAAUACCGCAUAAGGGCACGAGGUGACACCCCCCUGUGUGCAAAACUCCGGUGGUACAGGAUGGGCCCGCGUCUGAUUAGCUGGUUGGAAGGGUAACGGACUACCAAGGCGACGAUCAGUAGCCGGUCUGAGAGGAUGAACGGCCACAUUGGAACUGAGACACGGUCCAAACUCCUACGGGAGGCAGCAGUGGGGAAUAUUGCACAAUGGGGGAAACCCUGAUGCAGCAACGCCGCGUGAGUGAAGAAGUAUUUCGGUAUGUAAAGCUCUAUCAGCAGGGAAGAUAAUGACGGUACCUGACUAAGAAGCUCCGGCUAAAUACAUGCCAGCCGCCGCAGUAA